GAUGAACGCUAGCGGCAGGCUUAAUACAUGCAAGUCGUGGGGCAGCAGGUCCCGUAGCAAUACGGGAUGCUGGCGACCGGCAAACGGGUGCGGAACACGUACAGAACCUUCCUUCGAGCGGGGAAUAGCCCAGAGAAAUUUGGAUUAAUACCCCAUAGCAUUAUGGAGUGGCAUCACUUUAUAAUUAAAGAUUUAUCACUUGAAGAUGGCUGUGCGGCUGAUUAGGUAGUUGGCGGGGUAACGGCCCACCAAGCCUGCGAUCAGUAACUGGUGUGAGAGCACGACCAGUCACACGGGCACUGAGACACGGGCCCGACUCCUACGGGAGGCAGCAGUAAGGAAUAUUGGUCAAUGGACGCAAGUCUGAACCAGCCAUGCCGCGUGGAGGAUGAAGGUCUUCUGGAUUGUAAACUUCUUUUAUAUGGGACGAAAAAGGGUCUUU
rnacentral:rRNA from 1 species